GACCGUCUUUCCUCACAGCUCCACGGCUGCAUCUCCGUGGGCACGCAAGCUUCCCCUGGUUACCUGAGCUGCUCCUGCCGUCUCCCGCCUGGGCUUCGCCGUGGUGCACCCGAUCCCGGAAUCGUGCGUCUGCGCCCUGCGAAAGAAGGACCUGCUGGCGGAGCUCCGGCCGGGGUCUCCUGCCUCGCAGCUGGGCGAGGGGACUUGGAGGACAGGGUGAAGCUGCAGAAGACCUGGGGUGGGAUGGCUAGAGAGGACGCCAAGGACUGGGGAAGGGGAAGUUAGGAAUACCUUACAUCCAAUGCCCACCCGUGCUCCGCAGGGCAAGGGCAGCCGUCGCCUCGGCCGCGUGCACCCAGCUCAGGCUGUUCCCAGGGAUUUAGUCUGGGGGGACAACCCAUGGCGAGAUGUGGUGGCAUUUUACCUCAGAGUGGAGCUGAAGAUGGAUAAACAAGGUAUCUGAUGUAUCUGCCUGAGAAGGCAGAGCUGGAGAAAGGCGGAGCGAGGGAGCGCGUGAAAAGAAAGAGAUGCCGAAUGCCGGGUGAUUGUCUGCCGCUUGCUGUGCAUUCUCAUUCUAGGGAGGAUGGCAUAAUUUAUAACCCAGCACAUGGAUAGAGGAACUGUAAAUUGUAGUCUGGAUGUCCCCGGCGCUGUCGACGAAGGAACUGAUGGGCUAGGUGACUGUACCAGUGUCCCCAGAGAAAAUCGCAGCCUCGCAGCAUGGAUUUAAAUGCAUGUGCAUGCAUGUAGAGACAUGAAAAAAGGCUCACAGGCAGAAGGAAUUUUCCUUGUCUUGGAUGAGACUUUUGACUUGGACUUUUGGGUUAAGUUCUGGAGACCAGAAGGCCAAAAUCAAAAGUAUGGGCAGGCUUGAUUUCUUUAGAAGACUCCAGCGGAGAACUGUGUCUCCUUGCUUCUGAUUCUACAUCUCCAUCCAUGGGCCACUGUUUCAGCAACCUCAGCCAGUGCAACACAACCUCAGCCAAGAAGAGUAUGCAGAGAAAGGAGUCCCCUACCUGCCACAAAACUGUUGUCUGAAAACUGUCUCAUAUUGUCUCAAGUUGUCAUUCAUUGUGAAUUAGACCUGUUUAACAUGUAAUCUGCAACAUGCUUCACUGUCUAAUUUUCCAGAGCCCCUCAUAUAAGGAACUGUAUUAUUGGUAUAAUCAUCAUGGUGAAGAAGUUGGUAUGUGGGGGAGAGAUGACAGAAACAGAGAGUAAGUCAGAGCUGGCUGCCUGACAGAUAAAAAGGAAAUGACCAAAAAAAAAAAAAAAGACACAGAAGAAUACUUUGUUGUCCACACAGAAAAGGGAAGUGUAGGUAAGACAGCAGUAGACUAAGAUUCUUAAGACUCAAGUUCUAGUCUUAUUUAUUAGCUAUGGGAGGCCUUGAGGGAGUUCUAGAAUUAAGUGAUCUCUCUUUAUAAAAUAGGAACAGUAAUAACUUCCUGGCUAACUCCCUGGCUGUCUCACAAUGCUGUAGUAGUAAGAAAUAAUUUUAUAAUUAAAGACUAUUUUAGGGCUGAUUACAUUUUUGGGCAGUGGCUCAUACAUGUAAUUUCAACAUUUUGGGAGGCCAAGGUGGGCGGAUUGCUUGAGCCCAGGAAUUCAAGACCAGGCUGGGCAACACAGACCUUGUCACUACAAAAGAAAAAAACAUUAGCUAGGCGUGGUGAUGUAUGCCUGUGGUCCCAGCUACUCAGGAAGCUGAGACAGGAGGAUCACCUGAGCCUGGGAGGUCGAGGCUACAGUGAGCCAUGAUCACACUACUGCACUCCAGCCUGGGAAACAGAGUGAGACUCUGUCUCAAAAAAAAAAAAAAAGGAAUAUUUUACACUUCAAGGUUCUAUACAAAUGUAAAAUAUCAUUCUAUUACUUAUUUAUAAUGCUGAUUAUUCUUUAAAUGACUUUAAAAUGUUAAUCUCUGCUUGAGCCUACGGAGAAGUAUGUAACAAAUUUGUGAAGGAUUGGCAUUAAACAUAGUCAAAAUAAAACAUAGAAAUUAUGGUAAAUAAUUUAACUGGUAAAAUAAUCUAAGUGGUAGUUCUCAGGUAAGUGGAAAUUCGAUUAGCUGAUUGUUUAGGAUUCUUGGUUAUAAGUGACAGAGACCUGACUAAAAGUACAUGAAGCACAUAACUGAGAAGGUUGUGGUAUGGCUCAGCAGAAAUGGGAAAAUCUUGGGACUGGUUCGUGUUUUAUUUACAUUAUCUUUGUUCCCAGGCAGUCUCUGCAUGUAAGUGGCAAAGAUGACUGUCUGAAAAUAUAUACCUACUUUUUUAAAGGGCUAUCUCAAGCCAUUCUGGAGAAGCACCAAAAGCCACUUUGCUUAUACUGGGAGAAUAGUUUGCUUUCCCUAAUUUGUGAUGAGUGAAACACUGAACAGAGACAUAGAAUAAUAUUCUGUAGUUCAGGGUUGGUGUAAUAUGGCCAGUGGGCGGAAUCUGGUCCUCAGACUGAUUUUGCAAAUAAUCUUAUAGAAACACAGCAACACCCAUUCAUUACAUGUUGUUUAUGGUUGCUUUGGGGUUACAAUGGCAGAGUUGAGUAGUUGUGACAGAGAUCACUAGGCUCACCACAUCUGAGAUAUGUACUGACUGACCCUGUACAGAAAGUUUGCUGCUCUUAGAGGAAUGUGUGUUUCUAGUGUCAGCAAUAAACUUCUUGGAUUUGUUUUGUUUUCUCAUCUUUACAUGAUAGUUGCAGACUAGUUGAUCCUUGUGACCUGUUUUUGAAUGCCACUGUGUAUUCUGUCAGGGCCCUCUGAUUCUGUUUCUUAUGGUGCUGAAUGCACAAUUUAAUGCCCUGGAAUUUCCUUCUGUCUUCUGCUAAACUCAUGCCUCUUCAGAUAGUUAAAAUCCUGUUCUACCUUAGAAGUCUCCAGAGUUAUUUUCCUAAAUUAAGAAGAACUGGCUUUGAAGUUACUCAUUAUGCCACACACAAUGGUUGAAAAGAGCAUCUCUUAUGUACUGUGUAUAUUUCAGCAUCCACUCAGCUUCUUAGGUAGAAAAGGAAGAGUCUUCCACAGUGUAUUUUAUCCAUAUUUGGGUCAGAAACUCUUCUUUACCACGGAGCGUGAUGGAAGAAAGAUAUGGGAUGGUAACAGUAGGCCAGGGAUGUAAUAAUCACAAAAUUUGAGAUAUUUUGUGACUGGUGACUCACGCCUGUGAUCCCAGCAUUUUGGGAGGCCAAAGCGGGCGGAUCACCUGAGGUCAGGAGUUCAAGACCAGCUUGGCCAAUGUAGUGAAACCUCAUCUCUACUAAAAAAAUAUAAAAAUUAGCUGGGUGUGGUGGUGCACACCUGUAAUCCUAGCUACUCAGGAGGCUGAGGCAGGAGAAUAGCUUGAACCAAGGAGGUGGAGGUUGCAGUGAGCUGAGAUUGUGCCACCACUGCAUUCCAGUCUGGGUGACAGAGCGA
rnacentral:lncRNA from 1 species